UACGGGGGGGGGCAAGCGUUAAUCGGAAUUACUGGGCGUAAAGCGUGCGCAGGCGGUUGUGCAAGACAGAUGUGAAAUCCCCGGGCUCAACCUGGGAAUGGCGGUGGAUACUGGAUAGCUAGAGUGUGUCAGAGGAUGGUGGAAUUCCCGGUGUAGCGGUGAAAUGCGUAGAGAUCGGGAGGAACAUCAGUGGCGAAGGCGGCCAUCUGGGACAACACUGACGCUGAAGCACGAAAGCGUGGGGAGCAAACAGG
rnacentral:rRNA from 1 species